rnacentral:rRNA from 1 species
GUCUAUGGUCACGCAGCCCCGAACAGGCCCGAUCCCGUCUGAUCUCAGAAGCUAAGCAGGGUCGAGCGUGGCCAGUACUUGGAUGGGAGACCGCCCGGAAAUGCCGGGUGCUGUAGGCA